rnacentral:lncRNA from 10 species
UCCCCAACACAUAUUCACAUAAAGCAACCAUUUAUUCUGAUGUCUCCCUGCUUUGCAGGUUUACUGGACUCAUGCGGGUGGUAGACACGCAUGUGUGUGGGAGUCACGUUUUCUGAAGGACCUACAGGCUGGGAUCCCAGAGGAUUCUUCACUUAUGUUUGACUCAACACUAAGGCAAUGACCCAGAGCUGCGGGUGGAAUUCUACACUGGGACAAAUGAGGACUCAGACAUCGCCUUCCAUUUCUGAGUGCACUUUGGCCAUUGUCUGGCCAUUGACAGCCAUGUGUG